GGCUGGAUAGUCUAGUGAUUCUGGUGUUCGACUGCCAGCCGAAAGGUACUGGAUUCGAUCCCCAGUGUCCAGUCUA